rnacentral:rRNA from 1 species
ACUCAAAUGAAUUGACGGGGGCCCGCACAAGCAGCGGAGCGUGUGGUUUAAUUCGAUGCAACGCGAAGAACCUUACCUGCGCUUGACAUGUGAUUGCACCACGGGUAACGCCGUGUCUCCUUCGGGAGCGGUCACACAGGUGCUGCAUGGCUGUCGUCAGCUCGUGCCGUGAGGUGUUGGGUUAAGUCCCCUAACGAGCGCAACCCCUGAGGUCCGUUACCUUGGUGUCGGGCCUGACUGCCGCGCGCAACGCGGAGGAAGGUGGGGAUGACGUCAAGUCAGCACGGCCCUGACGCGCAGGGCGACACACACGCUACAAUGGCCGGUACAACGGGUUGCCAAGCCGCGAGGCGGAGCCAAUCCCAGCAAAGCCGGUCUCAGUUCGGAUUGCAGGCUGCAACUCGCCUGCAUGAAGUCGGAGUUGCUAGUAACCGCGGGUCAGCACACCGCGGUGAAUACGUUCCCGGGCCUUGUACACACCGCCCGU